CUUAGAAGCAGCCAUCAUUUAAAGAAAGCGUAAUAGCUCACUGGUCGAGUCGGCCUGCGCGGAAGAUGUAACGGGGCUAAACCAUGCACCGAAGCUGCGGCAGCGACACUAUGUGUUGUUGGGUAGGGGAGCGUUCUGUAAGCCUGUGAAGGUGGCCUGUGAGGGUUGCUGGAGGUAUCAGAAGUGCGAAUGCUGACAUAAGUAACGAUAAAGCGGGUGAAAAGCCCGCUCGCCGGAAGACCAAGGGUUCCUGUCCAACGUUAAUCGGGGCAGGGUGAGUCGACCCCUAAGGCGAGGCCGAAAGGCGUAGUCGAUGGGAAACAGGUUAAUAUUCCUGUACUUGGUGUUACUGCGAAGGGGGGACGGAGAAGGCUAUGUUGGCCGGGCGACGGUUGUCCCGGUUUAAGCGUGUAGGCUGGUUUUCCAGGCAAAUCCGGAAAACCAAGGCUGAGGCGUGAUGACGAGGCACUACGGUGCUGAAGCGACAAAUGCCCUGCUUCCAGGAAAAGCCUCUAAGCAUCAGGUAACAUCAAAUCGUACCCCAAACCGACACAGGUGGUCAGGUAGAGAAUACCAAGGCGCUUGAGAGAACUCGGGUGAAGGAACUAGGCAAAAUGGUGCCGUAACUUCGGGAGAAGGCACGCUGAUAUGUAGGUGAAGCGACUUGCUCGUGGAGCUGAAAUCAGUCGAAGAUACCAGCUGGCUGCAACUGUUUAUUAAAAACACAGCACUGUGCAAACACGAAAGUGGACGUAUACGGUGUGACGCCUGCCCGGUGCCGGAAG
rnacentral:rRNA from 1 species